rnacentral:lncRNA from 10 species
GGCCAACAUGGUGAAACCCCAUCGCUACUAAAAAUGCAAAAAUGAGCCUUGCGUGGUGGUACAUGCCUGUAAUCCCAGCUACUCAGGAAGCUGAGGCAGGAGAGUUGCUUGAACCCGGGAGGUGGAGGUUGCAAUGAGCCGAGAUCGCACCACUGCACUCCAACCUGGGCAAUGGAGUCAGACCCUGUCUCAAAAAAUAUAUAUAUUAUAAGCAGGAAAAAUGAAUACAACUGCAACUUUAUACAACAUGAAUGAAUCAUAAUACAAUGUUGAGUCUACAAAGCAAGUCCAAGAAGUGUGCGUGGAACAUGAUACCCUCUGUAGAUUCAUAAACAAUUAAAACUAAAUAGUGGCAUAAGCCUACAUAUAUGUGACAACACUAGGAAGACAAGAUUCACAACAGUGGUUACUGGGAAUGGAUCAGGGAGCAACACAGGUGGAUACAAGUUAUCACCAAUGUGUUAGGUCUUAGGUUGGAUGGUGGGUUUGCAGUUAUUUAUCAUAUUAUGAACCAAAGUGAAAAAGUAAAAGUAAAUGAUGCUUGUUCCAGU